AGCGCUGGGAGGAGGACUGGGCCCGGGGAGCCCACGCCCCGCUCACCUCGGAGCUCCGCGAGCCUUUCAGCACCUGCUUGGUGAGCGCGAUUACAUCGGUGCCACAGGUGUUCACCUUCUCCGUGAGAAGCCCCUUCACGGACUGACCAAAUCGGGCUUGCGAAUCCGGCGUCCCAGUCGCCAUCACCUCAACUAGCGAUCACCCGCAGCCGGACGACGGCGAGUCCCUGGGGCCAAAAGAGACGCAACCGUCCAAUCGUGCGAAGAGGAAGGACCGCAUGCGCUUAGCUCAAACUGCUUACUAAAAUUACUUAAAAUGUUCAGUUGAUGGACAUGGAAGGAGGAUACCGUUUAGGCAGGCUACCCUGGAGGGGAUAGAAUAUAAUUUAGGUGAAUCUCUAGUUUAGAGUCAGAAGAUCUGGAUAGCAUCCCAAGGAGUGAUGUGGCUACAAAUUACUCAACCCCUGUGUCUUCUGUUAUCUGUUUUAGGGCCAGCACUGCGUUACCUAGGCACAUUAAUACAACUCUGUCAGAAGUUCAGGGUCUUUCUUGGCUGUAUAGCAAGUGGAGGCCGACCUGUGAUACAUGAGACCACAUCUAUAAAAUAAAAUAUCUAUAAAA
rnacentral:lncRNA from 1 species